UACGUAGGCAGCAAGCGUUGUUCGGAAUUACUGGGCGUAAAGAGUGUGUAGGCGGUGCUCUAAGUUCGUUGUGAAAUCUCCCGGCUUAACUGGGAGGGUGCAGCGGAAACUAGAAUGCUAGAGGGUGGGAGAGGUAAGCGGAAUUCCUGGUGUAGCGGUGAAAUGCGUAGAUAUCAGGAGGAACACCUGUGGUGUAGACAGCUUACUGGACCACUUCUGACGCUGAGACACGAAAGCGUGGGUAGCAAACAGG
rnacentral:rRNA from 1 species